CCUACGGGUGGCAGCAGUGGGGAAUCUUGCGCAAUGGGCGAAAGCCUGACGCAGCGACGCCGCGUGAGGGAUGAAGGUCUUCGGAUCGUAAACCUCUGUCAGCAGGGAAGAACGGUCACUGUGCUAAUCAGCAGUGAAUUGACGGUACCUGCAAAGGAAGCACCGGCUAACUCCGUGCCAGCAGCCGCGGUAAUACGGAGGGUGCGAGCGUUAAUCGGAAUUACUGGGCGUAAAGCGCUCGUAGGUGGUAUGUCAAGUCAAGGGUGAAAUCCCCGCGCUCAACGUGGGAACUGCCUUUGAUACUGGCAGACUGGAGUGUGUGAGAGGAUAGUGGAAUUCCAGGUGUAGGAGUGAAAUCCGUAGAUAUCUGGAGGAACAUCAGUGGCGAAGGCGACUAUCUGGCACAUAACUGACGCUGAGGAGCGAAAGCGUGGGUAGCAAACAGGAUUAGAUACCCGUGUAGUC
rnacentral:rRNA from 1 species